rnacentral:rRNA from 1 species
UACGAAGGGGGCUAGCGUUGCUCGGAAUCACUGGGCGUAAAGCGCACGUAGGCGGGUCGUUAAGUCAGGGGUGAAAUCCUGGAGCUCAACUCCAGAACUGCCCUUGAUACUGGCGAUCUCGAGUUCGGGAGAGGUGAGUGGAACUGCGAGUGUAGAGGUGAAAUUCGUAGAUAUUCGCAAGAACACCAGUGGCGAAGGCGGCUACUGGCCAGUAACUGACG